rnacentral:rRNA from 1 species
AUUGAACGCUGGCGGCAUGCCUUACACAUGCAAGUCGAACGGCAGCACGGGGCAACCUGGUGGCGAGUGGCGAACGGGUGAGUAAUGUAUCGGGACGUACCUUUCAGUGGGGGAUAACGUAGCGAAAGUUACGCUAAUACCGCAUAUUCUGUGAGCAGGAAAGCAGGGGAUCUUAGGACCUUGCGCCGAUUGAGCGGCCGAUAUCAGAUUAGCUAGUUGGUGAGGUAAAGGCUCACCAAGGCGACGAUCUGUAGCGGGUCUGAGAGGAUGUACAGCCACACUGGAACUGAGACCCGGUCCAGACUCCUACGGGAGGAAGCAGUGGGGAAUUUUGGACGAUGGUCGCAAGCCUGAUCCAGCCAUGCCGCGUGAGUGAAGGAGGCCUUCGGGUUGUAGAGCUCUUUCAGCCGGGAAGAAAACGCAUGGGUUAAUACCCUGUGUGGAUGACGGUACCGGAAUAAGAAGCACCGGCUAACUACGUGCCAGCCGCCGCAGUAA